CAGGGAAACAGUUACUUGAGAUAAGUAUUUCAUUGUAAGAGUGUGAGUUCUGUUUGAGCUGUCAUUGUGCAGAGAGGGACGUUACACCCUAUGCUGGUCACACUCACUUCUCUGGGACUCAGCCAAAGAAGGAAAUUAGCUACACGUUGUAGGAGAGGAAAUAUUUACAAGUCAAGAGACGGAAGUAUUAGAAGAAACGUAUCCUGGGUCUACGGGAAGAGAACUUCAUUUCAGUGUCUUUAUACCCUGGGACUGGGUUUACAAGUGUGUUUAUUGUGGCUCUAAAUUUGUGAGGCAUUCAUUUACUGGAGAGAGAGAAAACAUAGUACAUACACAAUGGCUACCUGUACGUGUGUUCUAUGGUGCAUAUUUUGGAUUGUGAUCUUGAUUUUCUUGGCUUGGCCAUUGAGCAUCUUCCUUGGUGGUCUAUAUGGAUUCCUGGCACCCCUCACCACUUGUAUUGGAUUGGAUAAGGUGACAGACUUGCUGCUGCAAGGAGUUAACUUGGGCCGCACCUGUGCUGAAUAUGCACGUGCAGGCAAAUCUCUGUGCUGAGUUGGAGACCUACACUAUCAGUGCCCUGAUCAAAGCUUCAUCUCAAGACAAGGACACACCUCAUAGGCUGAAUAAUUCCUACCAGUCAUCAGAGUCAAAUACAUAAUAUAUUGGUUCCACGUUACGGCAUGUAAAAUGUAUGACGAUUGGUGCUUUUGUAUUUACAGUUUUUGUUUUUAAGUAAAAAAUGUAUUUUAUACGGGAGCUAUGUCUUGUCUUUGGGACCACACAUUUUUGUAGUUAAUGUAACAGAUACUCUAAACUCAGUUUGCCCAGUAUUGCAUGAUGGGUCUUAUUUUGUCUUUGCAAUAAAAUAUGAAGUCAUGGAGAUAUUCAAUAAAGAUUACUUGGUUAAUAAUU